UACGUAGGGGGCAAGCGUUGUCCGGAUUUAUUGGGCGUAAAGAGCGUGUAGGCGGCCUUUUAAGUCCUGCGUGAAAUCCUGCGGCUCAACCGCAGACGGUCGUGGGAAACUGGAAGGCUAGAGUGCGGGAGAGGAGAGUGGAAUUCCCGGUGUAGCGGUGAAAUGCGCAGAUAUCGGGAAGAACACCCGUGGCGAAGGCGGCUCACUGGACCGGAACUGACGCUGAGGUGCGAAAGCGUGGGGAGCAAACAGG
rnacentral:rRNA from 1 species